AGAGUUUGAUCCUGGCUCAGAGCGAACAUUGGCGGUAGGCUUAACACAUGCAAGUCGAGCGAGGCGUAAUAGUCGAGCGGCGAACGGGUGAGUAAUACAUGGAAAUCUACCUAGAAGUGGGGGAUAACGUUCAGAAAUGAACGCUAAUACCGCAUAAGCCCGAAAGGGGAAAGCGUUGCAGCGCUUUUAGAUGAGUCCAUGGCUGAUUAGCUUGUUGGUGAGGUAAUGGCUCACCAAGGCGACGAUCAGUAGCUGGUCUGAGAGGAUGACCAGCCACACUGGAACUGAGACACGGUCCAGACUCCUACGGGAGGCAGCAGUGGGGAAUCUUGCGCAAUGGGGGCAACCCUGACGCAGCCAUACCGCGUGAGUGAUGAAGGUCUUCGGAUUGUAAAGCUCUUUCGGCGGGGACGACGAUGACGGUACCCGCAAAAGAAGUCACGGCUAACUUCGUGCCAGCAGCCGCGGUAAUAC
rnacentral:rRNA from 1 species